ensembl:Y_RNA Y_RNA Y RNA
GGCUGGUGCAAGUGCAGUAGUGUUUACAAUUGCUUGAUUAUCACCAGUUACAGAUUUAUUUGUUCCUUCUCCAUUCCCAUUGCUUCACUUGACUAGCCUGUA